rnacentral:rRNA from 1 species
GUGAAGCGGGAAAAGCUCAAAUUUAAAAUCUGGCGUCCUCCGGGCGUCCGAGUUGUAAUCUGGAGAAGCGUUUUCCGCGUCGGACCGUGUACAAGUCUUCUGGAACGGAGCGUCAUAGAGGGUGAGAAUCCCGUCUCUGACACGGACUACCGAUGCUUUUGUGAUGCGCUCUCGAAGAGUCGAGUUGUUUGGGAAUGCAGCUCAAAAUGGGUGGUAAAUUCCAUCUAAAGCUAAAUAUUGGCCAGAGACCGAUAGCGAACAAGUACCGUGAGGGAAAGAUGAAAAGCACUUUGGAAAGAGAGUUAAACAGUACGUGAAAUUGUUGAAAGGGAAACGCUUGAAGUCAGUCGCGUUGGCCGAGACUCAGCCUGGCUUGCCUGGUGUACUUCUCGGUUGACGGGUCAGCAUCAGUUUUGACCGUCGGAUAAAGGUUGGAGGAAUGUGGCAUCCCUCGGGAUGUGUUAUAGCCUCUGAUUCGCAUACGGCGAUUGGGACUGAGGAACUCAGCACGCCUUUAUGGUCGGGGUUCGCCCACGUAACGUGCUUAGGAUGCUGGCAUAAUGGCUUUAAGCGACCCGUCUUGAAACACGGACCAAGGAGUCUAACAUGCCCGCGAGUGUUUGGGUGUUAAACCCGAGCGCGUAAUGAAAGUGAAAGUUGAGAUCCCUGUCG